CUUGUCUCUGUCAGGAACGACAGCGCCAUGGAUCCCGAUGUGAAGCUUCACUGCAGCCUGAUCUGACCUGGGAGGGGGUCGCGUUGCGCUCGGGCGCCGCAUCAGGUGGCGGUGGCGAGGUGGGAGGGGAGCACGGAGAUGGGCGCGCGGAGACGAAGGAGGAGAAAAAUGGAGAGGCAGGGAGGCUACGCUCGGGGUCCGCAUCAGGCGGCGACAGCGAAGCGGGAGGUGCGCACGGAGACGAAGGACCCGAGAAUGGAGGCGUCCGGGAGCGAGGACUUCGCCGGCGUCAAAGCCACUGCCAGGCGGGACGCGCAGGCGCGCGAGGGGCGCAUGGCUCCUCUCCUGGUGCGGCACACGAGGGAAUGAGGUGGGGAUCAAGCUGCCGGCACACCACCCGCCGUUCACCCUUGCUCCACACUUCGUCGGAACUCCAUCUGUUGGUUCUGCACUUAGAAUCAUCGGACUAUAGAUUAUUGAUCAUGCAUGAAACGUUUUAAAGGAAGUGAAUCUACAUUUGCAUGCUCGGUUUGAAGACUUGCCAGCUGGGUGAAGAAGCUUUCUGACAAACAUCCAAAUCACUCUAAUAGGCCCAAGUUGAGCAUAUGUUAGAUGGUCUGGAUGACAUGGAUGGUGCCGAGGAUGUCCCUUUUGAUGAGCUCAUAGGCAUGCAAGGCUUAGUAUUUCACUUGGUUGAGAAUGCAAUUACAAUAUGUAUUACAUACAAGUCUGAUGGAUUCAAGAGAAUAAAGAGUAAAUAAUACUAUACUAUAAAUACGUCAACUACAGAUAACCCUCCCAACUACAAUGUUGCACCUGACAACCUCCUACUCAAUGAGGCCAAGCUAUCUGCAGGGGACCAUGCCCCUGGACGUUCCUAAGA